rnacentral:lncRNA from 1 species
UUCUCAACCACUUCACUAUCUUCAAGUAAUAUUGAAUAUAGACUUCGUAGUUGUAAGGAUUAAACUAUUAAUCAUUAAAUACCUUGCAUCAACUCAAUUACAGGACACAAUCUAUAAUAACUCUAUUAUUACCAGUAGAAAUGACUAAAUCUAGUAAACUCAAUACACAUACUAACUUUAGUCUUGUAAUGUCAACUAACUCUAGCUGACGUUGUUACAAUAGAUAAAAAAGAAUGUUACAAACAAACCUCGAACAACUUUACUACAAAGAGUAGGUUUACACUGUUAAUAACACGAAACAAAGACUUAAUUACAACAAGAACUCAUGACAAAACAACUUUGAUCAAGCAAAUCCCUAUUGCGGUUGAGGUUGUGUUAUGCUUUAUCUUCAAGAGAAAUUUUUCCUUUUCCAAUCCAAAGAACUAGGAUUUUUUUACCAUUUUUUUGCAUAUAUAUGACACAUGAAAAUUCAGAACUCUUCUCAAUGGUCAAGGUAAAAAGGUUGUUGCACUUCUUCCACCGUAUCCACCAACUUCCUGCCAAAAGAACACAGAACGAUUGUAGUGAUAACUUGCCAAAAAGUGAACAAAACCAUUGCACCUAGUCCCUGAAGGUUUGUAUUCAUCAUCAGAAUUAUGCCAGUGUCUCUAUAGGAACUAAGUCCCUACAAUGGGUUGUAUAUCAUCAAAACUGAGGACUUAACAAAUAAUAUUCCUCCAAUUAGAGUUUUAAGGUUCACUUGUGGUUGCCCCAUCAUUGCUAAAAUCAUGCCACCAGUAGAGCUCUUCUCUAUUUUUGGUAGUAUCUCCUCGGUUUGUUGUUUGUUUAUGUUAUUCUAUAGUUACCCCCUCUCGGUUAUUAGGCCAGACUAGGCAACCUAUGCGAACAUGCAUUGAGAUAAUAUUUUAAUCAUUCUGAUGUGCAUUUUGAUUCAGAAGUCAUAAUCUUAAUUAAAAACAAUUGAGACUUAAAUAUUUCACGAAGAGAAAUUAUAUUUCAAUACAUAAAUAAGGGUAAAAUCAUCAAAAACUGCUAGUAAUUAAUAAUUUCUUACAUUUUGUUUGGAUGGUUGUUGCAUAUUAUUUCAUAAUAUAGAGUAAUAUGUUGUGUUGUAUUGUAUCAUACUGUAUUUUUUAAUGAAUACAAUGUUUUUAUAUAUCGUAUCAUUUUUCAGGGUUACAUAAUAUCACACAUCAAUAAUUUUAAAGAUAAACUUGCAAGAAAAUAUAGACACAAAAUGUUUCAAACACACCCAAUCAGUCUUAAAAGAAAUACGACUUUUUAUUAUAACCUAACAAUGAGUUUGUCACAAUCCUAACUCCAUCUCGGGUGGUACCCAUACAAACCCUUUGAUGGGAGAACCAUCAAAUCCGAAUAUCCCACACCAACACUAAUCAUUUUCAAAUGAUAAAGAAGGAAAUUCCAUAUUAGUAACAAUAUCUAACAGUUCUACACAAAUCAAUGCGAAAAUAAGUCAAAAUGUCUAAAAUGCCUCCAAAAACUUAAGGUCAUCGUACCAAAACAUCUAAACAAAAUAAUUUAUGAAAACAACCUGGAAAACUAGCAAUAAUUAAACUAUUUGUGCCUGAAACAAGUGAACAAGAACAUAGUUUAGGAAGACUCAUGGCUACUUAAAAGAUAAAGUUCACCCCGGAGUCAGAAAUCGAUCACUGUCUACAACCAAGUCUCGUUUGAGCCACUGAAAAAUGCUCCGUACUCAACAAAAAAAAGAGCACAGAGUAGUAUCUGUAUAAAAUCACUGUGUACUAAUAGAGUCAUAGGCUAACUCAACUUAAUAAAUAAACAAAUAACCAAUAAUUUGUAAACAAAAGCAACCAUGUAACAAUUAGCAAUUAUGCCUUCACUUAACCAGUCUUUACAUAUUCAAUUAACCAAGUAAUUAAGAAAAAGCAUAGUACAAGUACACAUAAUCAUCCUAGUCAAUUACCAUGACUCAACCUCGUCAUAAUUACCUCUUUAUUAAACUUCAACAAUAUUAACUCAGUUCAAGUAUCAAUAGCCCAAACCAUUUAUGGAUCUAAAUAAAAACAAUAACAUAAUUCGGUUCACUCAAGAAAUCAAAAUAGCAACAACAAUAUAACCUCGUGCACUUGUGACAUAGUCAAACUCUUUAAUAUUGUUUCCGUACAUGCUAUGGGUCCUAUAAAUACUCACUAUCCAGGACCUAUAGGGGCCGAGUUAAGUACAUGGAUCAAAUAAUCCAGACAACUUGUGUCUAUCACGAUUAUCCUAAAUCAAGUGUUAUACCACUAUUAUUCCCACAUUUCCACCUUUAUGCUCUUUAAGAUCUAUCAAUUUCAUGACGAUUAGCCUUUAAUAGUUUAUCUCAUAAUAUUGAUCCAUGUCAUAACAUGUACAAUCACAAUAUGAGAUAAUUUAAUCACACUUGUGUUUUAAAAUAAGAUUUUUUACAUAAUCUCAUUUAGCUUAUCAAACAUGUAAAAUUAUCCAAUAAAGGCAUGCACUGUAAUAGUAGUCAAAUAGGCAGUUAAUAUGCACGCUUAAAUCAAUAUGAAUUUUUAACUCCAAUCCAACCACCACCUAGCUUGAUACAAGCCUGCAAUGCUCUAUCAAACUCGAGCUUUACUUUUUCUUGCAAUUUCAGUUUGAUUAUGGUCUAAAAACAAUAAUAUAAGCACUAAUGAAAUAAUGCUCUAACAAUUUUAAGAAUUACAACUUAAUCUCAUAAUUCCAAGGUCAAAAUCAUAAUAUUUCCCUAUUCUAGGGUUUUUCUAUCUUCAUUCCACUUUAAUUCUAUCAAAUUUAUGUUUUCAAGAAUGCAUUAUAACCAUAUUAUAAAAGUUCUUCCACCCUUGACCAAAACCCAAGGAUUACACCUUAUUUUUACUACUUUGCAUCAAAAAAUAAACCUAGGUCAAGUUAAUUCCUCCAUCAUGAUCAAAACCUAGUGAUUCUAAGAAUUAAUCACCAAAAAACUAGUUAAACAGGUGGAUUAAACUUACCUUAAUAAAGAAAUUCAAGUGGAAACUGAUGGAAUUCACCCCCAAUCCCCUCUUUUAAUUUUGAACGGGUUUGGGACGAAAAUAACAUUUAAGUCUAAAAACUGAAUUUCACUGUGUAUCCUACUAUAUCAGCCUGAUUCCCACUAGUGGCCUCGUUAUAACAGAACUAACUAAAGUUGACUUUUGCUAUAAGGGAAAAAUUCCUACAAUAGUGGGCUCGUGUUAGUGGCUUGCCUCUCACUAUAGUGGCCUAAGGAGGUAGAAAACUGACAAUCUCAUAUUUUUGUCAAUUUUAUGAUACACAUCUAGAUUGUGACAUCCCGAAUUAACCCAUUUACGUCAAAUGCUACAUUCAGAGUUCUACUAAUUAAAAUGAAUUUUGAACUCCUUAUCCUCUUAGUUAUCAUAUUACGAUCUCAAAUCACAUAUUCAUUAACCGAUUCAUUACUAGAUUUAGUUAACUAGACCACAACACAUUUGAAAUUUGUCCAAGACUAAUCUAACCUGAAAUGCCUAACACUUCACUCGAUGUUACAUCCUGGGUUUUGGCCCUUAGAAUUUUUUUUGGAAUUCCGUUCUCUGGACCCAAUAUGACUCAUAGGUACGAGCUAUAUGCUGGGGCACGAGUGGUAUAAUCCUAUCAUAUACUGACCAGUGUUGGUUUGUGGGAUGGAUGGGUUACUAAAAUGGAUACGACUUAGGGGAUAUGAGUCGUAUUGUUGCAUAUAAGUCAUAUCUUGUACUCGUAUAGGGGACAGUGUUAAAUCCUCUUGGUAUUCUAUUCUGCUAGGGAUAUAGAUAGUAGGUAUGAAUCGUAUUUUGUAUAUACGACUUGAUUGGAUGAGUCGUAUACUGGAUAGUGUUGGGUCCAAGGUUUAGGGUAGGAUACGAGUGGUGGGUAACACUCGUAUUGGAAGGGUACGACUCGUAUGGGUCAGUCGUAUCCCUAUGUGAUGGAAUUUUUAUGUAACUUAAGUGAGGGUAUUCUGGAUAUUUUUCUACUUACCCUAAUAGGACCCCGCGACUUCUAACCUACUUGGAAGAGUAUUUACCCUAUUAUUCUAUUCAUAAACACUUAGAAACUAUUCCUAAACACUUCAUAAUUCUCUCAAAAACUUUUGGGUCAAGAAAGCUAGGGUUUCAUCUUGAGGACUAAUUUGGGGCUUUCUUUGGUGAUUUUUUUCACCAAUUCUUCUAUAUAAGGUGUGUUCCCUUUCCUCAUUGUUAGUUUCAACUAAAGGAAUGGUUUUCAUUAUUGGUUUUCAUGAUUUCAUUAUUGUGUUAUUUGGAUUUUCAAAUAUAAUUUGGGGGUUUUAUUUAUAAAUACUUGGUUAUGGUUUCCCAUGGUUUUAAUUAUUCUUUUAUAUGCGUUAAUGGUGGUUUUGGAUAAUGAGAAUACAUGAAAUGGUUAUUGGUAAUUGGAAUUGAUUUUGGAUAUAUACUAUGCCCCUAAUGUUUUUGACAGAAUGCUUAUAAAGAUAUGUUCAUUGCAUUGAUCACUUUUAAAUAGAACUCUUGCUUGUUUUAAACUUAGUAAAGGAUUUAUGUAUGGUUUAAAUGGUUUGAAAAUAUAAAUGGCUAAAUAUUUAUGCUUGUGGGGUACGGAUUCCCCCAAGAGGUUUAACAUGGUGAACGGAAGGACACUUAAAAGUCCCCUUAAACUUACAUAUGGUUGGCUAUGGAUGGUAAUUGCAAGUGUGGUUGGUAUGACGAUACCACCACUAAAUGGCCUUGGUUAAUAAAUGGUAAAUGGAUUGCUUGGAAAUGAUUUUAAUUAGGCAUUUAAGGGGCAGGUGUAGCUAAGUCGUGAAAGGUAGAGGUUCCGAGGGGAUCGAAACUGAAAACUCAUAUUUAUCAGUAUAAGGUUGGUCUUGGUGGACCGUGUGCAUGAUGUCACACCUCAUAUUGGGGGAUGUAAUAGUCAUCCCAUGGGAUAUUUUCCUGGUCGCCUGGCUACACCCACUGGGGCUCUUUCAGCAGGAGAAGCUAAACUCAUAUUGCCCGUGGGUGGUUUAGGACGAAAAAGCUACACAAUCCAGGUAAAGAUUUUAAAUGCAUGCUAAACUCGAUUUCCUUUUCUGGCACUUAUAAAUAUGUAUGGUUGUAUGUAUUAUGGAUGGUUUUACUUGAUUUUAUAAUUGGCAUUAUUUUAUCCUUAUCCUGAGUUCAUGUUAGCGAUCACUCACUAACCCGUCUACUAGCGGUUGUAUACCCACGCUAUGAAGGAACUGGUUAUUCUACUCCUCAUGUCUAGCAUUUAGAUUUUGAUAUUAGUAUUGGACUGAAGUGGUGAGCUUCCAUCCUUUUGGAAGGCUCCAUUUCAUGUUAUGGAUAUCCUUGGACACUUUUAUUUUAUUAUGGAUAUUGGUUUUACCAUGGUUGGGGGCAUGUCCCAACCGGAUAUUUUUACUCUUUCGAUUAGAGGCUUUGUGGUACUUCUGGGGGUUGGUAUGGGUGGGAUCAGUAUUGGUGUUUUCCUUAGUAUUGGUAUUGGUGUUGGGGAUUAUACCCUGGGACGUUAUUGUUGGUUGUUCCAUCGUAUUAUACUUUGGGAUUGAUCAUUAUAUUAUCUUUUGGUAUUCUCUUAGGCUAUGACCUAGUUUAUGGCCUUUGGUUUAGCUUGGUAUGGUUGGAUGGUUGGUUUAGUACGAUUAGACUCGGUUGGGGUGGUCACGGUUGUGAUCCUAUCCCAAAGUCUUCAUGAGAGCAUUUAUGCUAUCUUGUUAUAAGCUCGAAAUUCAGCCCAUCAAAGGUGGCAUAAGGUGGUUGGGUUGGGUAACAGGGGGCGGUCCCCAAUCCUAGUUGGACUUGGGAUGCCCAUUACGUCUAGGCCCUGAUUCGGAUCGUGACACUCGAGUAGAAUCUUAACCCAAAUUUUGACAUGCUAAGUUAUAGCAUAACGACGGAAGGGGUCAUUACAGAAUUUAAAAAUAUUAUACAAUAAAUUUAAAUAACAAUCAAAACAAGCAUUGCAGUUAAACUGACAACUCAGCACACUACAAUAGAUGAUAACCAUCUAAAUAAGUUGUCAAGAAACGUGUAAAUGAGAAACACGACAAAUUUUAAAAGCUUUCAAGAAACGUGUAAAUGAGAGACACGACAAAUAUUUUGAAACAGAAAGAGUAACCCCCCACCCCACCACCACGCUGCCGCCUCCCCUCCCCUCCCCCCACCUCUCUCUACCUUCAAUCCCUUAUAAAAAGGAGCCCUUUUCUCCUGUCAAAAGCAUCUAUAGUUCUUCACAGUCCUUCACCAAAUGGACUGCUAUAUCUUUUAGUUUCAUUUAUUCCCAUUUUUUUUUCCAUUUAUUUCUAGUAAAUAUCCAUCGUUUUCAUUAAAAAAAAGUUCUCCUUCGCAUCAUGAAAAUUACAUUCAUUUCUCUUUAUUUGCAAAGUCUUUUUUAAAACUAGAGGAUUUUACUUACAUUAAAUACUUUUAUAUAUAUAAGGGGACUUGUUUUUAGUAUAUAUAGAUACAAUCUUUUAAGGCAUUUCAAUUGCACCUGUUAUGGAUUUUGCAAGUUCUAACCUUUUUUCUGCAGAAGACACCAACACCAUUCUUGAAAAUGAGUACCAUGAUGCUGGCACAUUGGUUCCUAGGAAUCAUCAAAACAGUCAGCAAACACAGAUUUUGAUUGGUGUGCCAUUACAGAGUGAUGAAUGUGUG